rnacentral:sRNA from 1 species
GCGCCUGCGGAGGAUCCAGCGUCGCCCAAUGGAUUUUUUUGGUAUUGCGGGCUGCCGGACGGCGUACGGUCUCGUGAUCGGCAAUUUUGCCGAUUCAAAAUCAUUC